UACAAACCAAUCAUAACCCGUUCCCAUAAUUUGCGAGACACGUGAACACUAUAAAACCGUGACGAAAUUCACAGCCGUUUAUCAUUCUCUUCAUUACCUUUACAUGAUCCUACAACCUUUCCCCAUCCUCUGUUAUAACACCACAACUCUCCCCGUAACUUACACCUUGCCGGAAGAUCAAAAUCGCCUCGCCGCGUUACAAAGUCGUUGCUGGAAUCGGAGUUCACGUCGGAUCCGAACCUUCAUUGGUUCGGUACACCCUUACCCGUCGGAGACGUAGAAGCUUUGCCGGAGAGAACCGACGCCGCCGGGAAACGGAAACAGCCACCACCACAACUCGCCGGAGCAUACGUCAUUCCUUGAAUUGGAUCACCAUUACGUUCGUUCUCUUGGAUUUCUCCGAUCUUUACUCGUGCGUUAUUACAGGAAAUCGCAACGAAAUCUAAGGUUGAUUAUUCAAGAAUCAAGAAAGAAGCUAGGAUGGCAUUAGAAACCCAUUUUAGCAUUUUAGUUAAUGUUGAAUUUAUGUUUGUUUAUUUGAGACAAUGUACCUUAAUUAGAAUUUAAUAAAAUGAUUUAAUUUAUAUUGUCA